rnacentral:rRNA from 1 species
AUUGAACGCUGGCGGCAGGCCUAACACAUGCAAGUCGAGCGGAUGAAGCGAGCUUGCUCCUGGAUUCAGCGGCGGACGGGUGUGUAAUUCCUAUGAAUCUGCCUGGUAUUGGUGUAUAACGUCCUGUAACGGGCUCUAAUACCGCAUACGUCCUUAGGGUUAAAUUUUUUGUUCUUCGUACCUCUCGCUAUCUUAUUAGCCUAUGUCGGAUUAGCUAGUUGGUGGGGUAAAGGCCUACCAAGGCCACGAUCCGUAACUGGUCUGAGAGGAUGAUCAGUCAAACGGGAAGUGAGACACGGAAAAGAAGAGUACGGGAGGAAGCAGAGGGGAAUAUUGGAAAAGGGGGGAAAGCAUGAAACAGAAAUGGCGAGGGUGAGAAGAAGGACUUAGGAUUGUAAAGAACGUUAAGGUGGGAGGAAGGGAAGUAAGUGAAAACCUUGAUGUUGUGACGUUAACAAAAGAAUAAGGACCGGCUAACUACGUG